AAUUGACCAGAAAUUGCACAAAAGAAUGGAAAGAACAACGUAGAAAAACAAGAAAAGAAACCGAUGCUCUAUAUACGUACAUUGUUUGAAUAGGGAUAUAAGAACCGGCCAGCACAAACUCUACUUUUCAGAUUUGCGUUAUCCUUAAAUAUGGCUAAAGUUUCAAGUUCCCAGAUUCUGGUCAUUUUCGCUGUUGUGGCCGCUAUUCUUUCGAAUACGCUCGACCUAAACACCCCGUUUGUUCUCGCUUCCCCACUUUUCGGGUGUUGUGGGAAAAAGUCUCGUGCCAAACGUGGUACUACGCAAAAUCAGGGAGCACCAGUGUAUUAUCCUCACCCAGCUCCAGGUCCUCGGCCAAACAACCCUUAUUUUUCUGAAACAAGUUCAGGUAGAAACAGCAUCCGUGCUAAAAGAGCAGCCCCUCCCAAACCAGCGAGACGGAACCGGCAACCCAAAAUGCUGGAGAGCCAGGUGUAAGGGGCCCCAACGAUCUUACGAAAUCCGCUGAGAAAUGCCAAUCAGCAGAUGAAAAGCAGAAAAUAAACAACAAAUUCCUUUUGGUG